rnacentral:tRNA from 1 species
GCCUGGCUGGCUCAGUUGGUGGAGUACACGACUCUUGAUCUUGGGGUCGUGAAUUCGAGCCCCACGUUGGGCG